rnacentral:tRNA from 1 species
GGGCCCGUAGCUCAGUUGGUUAGAGCAGUCGACUCAUAAUCGAUUGGUCACAGGUUCGAGUCCUGUCGGGCCCACCA